rnacentral:rRNA from 1 species
UACGGAGGGAGCUAGCGUUGUUCGGAAUUACUGGGCGUAAAGCGCACGUAGGCGGCUUUGUAAGUUAGAGGUGAAAGCCCGGGGCUCAACUCCGGAACUGCCUUUAAGACUGCAUCGCUUGAAUCCAGGAGAGGUGAGUGGAAUUCCGAGUGUAGAGGUGAAAUUCGUAGAUAUUCGGAAGAACACCAGUGGCGAAGGCGGCUCACUGGACUAGUAUUGACGCUGAGGUGCGAAAGCGUGGGGAGCAAACAGG